rnacentral:rRNA from 1 species
UACGUAGGGUGCGAGCGUUAAUCGGAAUUACUGGGCGUAAAGCGUGCGCAGGCGGUUUUGUAAGCCAGAUGUGAAAUCCCCGGGCUUAACCUGGGAAUGGCAUUUGGGACUGCAAGGCUGGAGUGCGGCAGAGGAGACUGGAAUUCCUGGUGUAGCAGUGAAAUGCGUAGAUAUCAGGAGGAACACCGAUGGCGAAGGCAAUCCCCUGGGCCUGCACUGACGCUCAUGCACGAAAGCGUGGGGAGCAAACAGG